AGAAUAACAGGAAAUAAAGUUUUCUUUUAAUGGUUUUUCGCGUGCAGUAUAUGGACUCUAGUGUUCAGACAGUGUCUCCCAGGGGACUCCUUUCACUACAGAUUCAAGCAGCAGAAUAGGUUCCCAACUCACUUCUUCAGACUGUGUUGAGUCCUAGAUUUCUAUAUGCUGGACAGCACCUAUGCAAUAUAUUUCUGUACCUAUAUACGUUUACAUUUGGUUCUAUAUGCAGAGUGGAGACUUGGUCUCAUUCAAUUUCCAAGAGCUCCUUCUAAUAUCUGAUUUCCACCCCACCCUCCUCUGCUUGUGCUAGAACCUCUACAAGACACUGAUCCUUUACCAUAGGAGUCAGUGGGAAAGUUGCCAUUGACUCAAAUGGAAAGCCAGAUCAAUUCUUACAGGCCCUCUCCUCCCAGAGAAAAAGGCUGCACUCUCCAUAGGAAAAUUAUGCCUGUGUAUAGGCUGGAGCUCCACCCCCUUUUACACCUUGGAACAUUCCUCUGCAGAGUGGCUCUUACUAGAGAAAUUCAGCCCCUGUACAUCCUGCCCCUAUAUAGGCCAAAUCAGCCAGCACACAGGGGUAUCUUCCCCUAUAUGGGAGGUGCUACAGCUUCUCCCUGUAGGUAGCAGGUAUCUGAGGGUUGUAAUGCAAGAGUGAACUGAGGGCCUCAUGAGAGCAAAGCAGUUUUCCCUGGUCAUUG